AUGAAACUUCUUUAUCACUUUGGUUUAAUAAUGACAAUGAAGACUUCUUCGUCACACCACACUACUGAUUGUGUUUACAGCUGUUACAUUUAACAAAUUUAAUCAUCAGUAGUGGUUUGGCUGCCAGUGUAAGAAACUUUCUCUACAUGAUUCAUGUGACUUUGCUCAACCCUUGCAUGACAUUCAGAUGUUUGUAUAUAUUUUUAGGAAAA